rnacentral:rRNA from 1 species
UACAGAGGUGGCAAGCGUUGUUCGGAAUUACUGGGCGUAAAGGGCGCGUAGGCGGCCUUCUAAGUCAGACGUGAAAUCCCCCGGCUUAACCUGGGAACUGCGUCUGAUACUGGGAGGCUAGAGUGCGGGAGAGGGAUGCGGAAUUCCAGGUGUAGCGGUGAAAUGCGUAGAUAUCUGGAGGAACACCGGUGGCGAAGGCGGCUUCCUGGACAAAAACUGACGCUGAGGCGCGAAAGCUAGGGGAGCAAACAGG